rnacentral:rRNA from 1 species
AAGUAACAAGGUUUCCGUAGGUGAACCUGCGGAAGGAUCAUUAAUUAUGUUAAAGCGCCUUACCUCUUAGGGUUUCCUCUGGGGUAAGUGAUUGCUUCUACACUGUGAAAAUUUGGCUGAGAGACUCAGACUGGUCAUGGGUAGACCUAUCUGGGGUUUGAUCGAUGCCACUCCUGGUUUCAGGAGCACCCUUCAUAAUAAACCUAGAAAUUCAGUAUUAUAAAGUUUAAUAAAAAACAACUUUUAACAAUGGAUCUCUUGGUUCUCGCAUCGAUGAAGAACGUAGCAAAGUGCGAUAACUAGUGUGAAUUGCAUAUUCAGUGAAUCAUCGAGUCUUUGAACGCAGCUUGCACUCUAUGGUUUUUCUAUAGAGUACGCCUGCUUCAGUAUCAUCACAAACCCACACAUAACAUUUGUUUAUGUGGUAAUGGGUCGCAUCGCUGUUUUAUUACAGUGAGCACCUAAAAUGUGUGUGAUUUUCUGUCUGGCUUGCUAGGCAGGAAUAUUACGCUGGUCUCAGGAUCUUUUUCUUUGGUUCGCCCAGGAAGUAAAGUACAAGAGUAUAAUCCAGCAACUUUCAAACUAUGAUCUGAAGUCAGUUAGUUCCCUACUCCAAGGCC